rnacentral:rRNA from 1 species
UACGGAGGGUGCAAGCGUUAUCCGGAUUCACUGGGUUUAAAGGGUGCGUAGGCGGGUAAGUAAGUCAGUGGUGAAAUCUCCGGGCUUAACUCGGAAACUGCCGUUGAUACUAUUUAUCUUGAAUAUCAUGGAGGUAAGCGGAAUAUGUCAUGUAGCGGUGAAAAUGCUUAGAUAUGACAUAGAACACCGAUAGCGAAGGCAGCUUACUACAUGUUAAUUGACGCUGAGGCACGAAAGCGUGGGGAGCAAACAGG